GACGAACGCUGGCGGCGUGCUUAACACAUGCAAGUCGAACGAAGUGGCGAACGGGUGAGUAACGCGUAAUCAACCUGCCCUUCAGAGGGGGACAACAGUUGGAACCGACUGCUAAUACCGCAUACUGAAGGAGGGGAUUGCGUCUGAUUAGCUAGUUGGAGGGGUAACGGCCCACCAAGGCGAUGAUCAGUAGCCGGUCGGAGAGGAUGAACUGCCACAUUGGGAAUGGGAAACGGCCCAGACUCCUUCGGGAUGCAGCAGUGGGGAAUCAUCCGCAAUGGACGAAAGUCCGACGGAGCAACGCCGCGUGAGUGGUGGCGGCCUUCGGGUUGGAAAGCUCUGUUAAUCGGGACGCGGUACCGGAAUAGAAAGCCACGGCUAACUACGUGCCAGCAGCCGCGGUAAUUC
rnacentral:rRNA from 1 species